GCGGGCGUAGUUCAAUGGUAGAACGACAGCCUUCCAAGCUGUAUAUGCCGGUUCGAUCCCGGUCGCCCGCUCCA
rnacentral:tRNA from 1 species